UCCUGGGUGGCUCAGUGGUAAAGAAUCUGCCUGCAAUGCAGAAGACCCAGGUUCGAUCCCUGGAUUGGGAA
rnacentral:tRNA from 1 species